rnacentral:rRNA from 1 species
UACGUAGGAGGCAAGCGUUGUCCGGAAUUACUGGGCGUAAAGCGCGUGUAGGUGGUGGGACAAGUCUGCUGUGAAAGCGCCUGACUUAACCGGGCGAGGUCGGCGGAAACUGUCCGACUAGAGGACGGUAGAGGGGGGUGGAAUUCCCGGUGUAGUGGUGAAAUGCGUAGAGAUCGGGAGGAACACCUGUGGCGAAGGCGGCCCCCUGGGCCGGCCCUGACACUGAGACGCGAAGGCGUGGGGAGCGAACGGG